GUUGUUGGAUGUUGAUAUUUAACCACUGUUAAUUUAUCCAUUUAUAUCGUUUGUAGGUUGUUGGUUGUUGCGCUGGCUUUUAUGGAGAGACUUGCUCAGCUUGUCAAGGAGGGUCUGAGUUUCCUUGUAACAAUAACGGGAAUUGCAGUGAUGGGUUAUACGGCGACGGCACGUGCACGUGUUUCCCAGGAUACACCGGAACUUCCUGUCAGCUCUGUAUUAACAGUACCGACAAUUCAACCACUGAAUGUGCUAGAUCAUGUGCGUACCACAACGGUGGAUGUCAUGAAAACGGAACGUGUCAUGAGUACGCCGGAAGUGUGACGUGUACUUGUCCCCAGGGGUUUGUGGGGGAUGGACACCACUGUGUUAGACCCUGCGAGGAGAACAACGGAGGGUGCCAUCAGUUUGCUGUUUGCAAAGAACUGAAUGAAAAUUCAACGGAAGUUGAUUGUUUCUGUCAAAGUCAAUACAAAGGCAACGGGCUUGUUUGCACGCUAAUACCUGAGAAACAAUCUGCAAGCAUGACGGCCGGUAUAACAGUGGGAGGAAUCAUUGGCUGUAUCAUCGUCGUCGGAUUAAUCUUCUUACUCAUCAUUGCAAUUAGAAGACAUAGACAUUCAACGGCAUUUUUAAACAAGGAG